GACGAACGCUGGCGGCGUGCCUAAUACAUGCAAGUCGAACGCAGUGGGGACGGGUGAGUAACACGUGGGUAACCUCCCAUCAGAGGGGAUAACACUUGGAAACAGGUGCUAAACCGAUACUGAUGGAUGGACCCGCGGUGCAUUCGCUAGUUGGGGAGGUAACGGCUCACCUAGUCCACGAUGCAUAGCGGGCCGGAGAGGGGGAUCGGCCACACGGGGACUGAGACACGGCCCAGACUCCUACGGGAGGCAGCAGGGGGGAAUCUUCGGCAAUGGGCGAAAGUCGGACGGAGAAACGCCGCGUGGGUGAAGAAGGUUUUCGGAUCGUAAAACUCGGUGGUUGGGGAAGCGGUAUCUAACCAAAAAGCCACGGCUAACUACGUGCCAGCAGCCGCGGUAAUUC
rnacentral:rRNA from 1 species